GUGAUUACUGUGGGUGUGUUUUGGGGUAUAAAGGGGGAGGGGUGAUUACUGCGCAGUGCCUGUGUGCUGGGGUAUAAGGGGAGGGGGCAAUUACUGCCGAUGUCUUGAUCAACCAGCCUGCAGCUCUAAUCCUGCUUCCAUGCCUCCAGGCAGACUCUCUGCUGCUCUCCUUAAACCUGGGCACCUCUGCUGCCCAGACCAUGGCUGCCUCUGCUCCCUAGACUUCACUGGCAUUGGUGGUGGCAUCAGACUGGGAAUUAGUGGCGGGGGCAGUAGCUGGCGGUGACUUUAGCAGGCAUGGGUAGCUGGCGGGAGCAGCAGUACAGUAGCGGUCACUGGCGGUAAUGGGCAUGCCUCACCAGCCACUGACCUCACCGCACGCCACUGCUGUACUGAGAGGAUGUAAUUAAUUAGAUAGGGAAUCACUGAAGGUUAUGUGGGUGCAGUGCUUAAAGUGGUCCUAGAGAGGUGGUGGAACUCACCCCCCUCCCCAAGGAGAAAAAGCAAUAAAGCUGUUGUGCGCGCCUACGGCGCGCGCUGGAAGGGUGUGUGGUCUCAAAAGGGGGCGUGGUCUCAAAAAGAAAGGGGCGUUGUCACACAAUAGUAAUAAUGCCCACAGUAGUAGCACCCCGUAAUACACAUAAUGCCCACAGCAGUAGCGCCCCUUAUACAAUGCCCACAGAAGUAGUGCUCCUUAUGCAAUGUCCACUGUACUGGUAGUGCCCCUUACAUAGAGCCCAUAGUAGUGGUGCCCCUUAUGCAAUGCCCAUAAUAGUAGUGCCCCUUAUGUCCCCAGGAGUGAUGCCCCUUAUGAAGUGCCCCCUUUACAAUGCCCUCAUUAGUAGUGCCCAGGGACGUGCAGUGCCUCCCCUGUCACUAAUGAUUAAAAUAAUAUAAAGAAGAUACAUAAGACACAUAUUCUGUGUCAUAGGUAUCUUCUUAAUAUUAUUCUAAUAAAUUUAGACUAUGAAAUUAGUUUGGGAGGCACUCAUAACAAGUGCCUCCCGUACACAGUGAAAACGGGGAUGCAGCGGGGGGCAGGGCCAAACACUGGGCUUUAAAAGCCCAUUAGAAAGAGAGGGGAAAGCGGCACUUAUACAAGUGCCUCGCUGACAGCCUGGGAUGGGCUUUCAGGUAAAUGACAGCUGUUAUUGGACAGCGGAUCCAGUGGUGGAUCCGCUGGUCCAAUCACCCAGAGGCGGUGGGAGAAGCGGAGGCGGGACCCGGCAGUUACUGUGAGCUGUCCCGGGUCACUACAGUACAGCAGCGGUGGCCCUGGGAAGCCCGAACCUGGAGAGUAUGCGGCGGCAGUGGGCAGCACUCCCGUCUAGUUCCUGCUCCUCCACCCUUCCAGGCAGCAGCGUCUCAGGUGAGUGAGGGGGUCAGCUGGACGGGCUGCACUGGCGUGCGCAUGGGGGGGAGGGGGGGAACACACAUAUAACAGCGCAUCAAUGUUUAGCAUACUGUAUAGCAUGGGAGGAUGUGCCAAGCUAUCAAUGGUUCUACAAGCUAGCAAGUUUAUGACCUGUGAUACAGGAGGAAGAGUUGGGCCCCAGUCCUGUUUAUUGGGUGCGCGCCAGGCAGAGUUUAGUCAGAGAGGGUGACUCACGGUACCUCUGGCAUCGCACGGUUUACAACACAUUACCGCAGUCCUGUCACCACCCUCCAAGUGUCCAGCUUAAUUUAAAUCAUGUGUAACUCUUCUCACCAAGAGGGUCAUUCCGAGUUGUUCGCUCGUUGACGAUUUUCGCAACGGAGCGCUUAAGGCAAAAAUGCGCAUGUGCAUGGUUCGCAGUGCGCAUGCGGUUAGUAUUUUACCACAAAACUUAGUAGAUUUACUCACGCCCGAACGAAGAUUUUAACUCGUUCAAGUGAUCGCAGUGUGAUUGACAGGAAGUGGGUGUUUCUGGGCGGAAACUGGCCGUUUUCUGGGAGUGUGUGGAAAAACGCAGGCGUGCCAGGGAAAAUCGCGGGAGUGUCUGGAGAAACGGGGGAGUGGCUGGCCGAACGCUGGGCGUGUGUGUGACGUCAAACCAGGAACGAAACGGCCCGAACUGAUCGCUAUUUGUGAGUAGGUCUGGAGCUACUCAGAAACUGCUAAGAAAUGUCUUUUUUCGCUAUUCUGCAAAUCUUUCGUUCGCUAUUCUGCUAUGCUAAGAUACACUCCCAGAGGGCGGCGGCUUAGCGUGUGCAAUGCUGCUAAAAGCAGCUAGCGAGCGAACAACUCGGAAUCACCCCCCAAGAACAUUGGAGUGUGUGGAUCCGCACAGGGCUGCAGUAACAGUUUCCUGAUAGCGGCAUCACACACACACCUGUCCCGAUGUGAGGGCUCUGUCCGGCCUGUGUCAAGUAUCAAAACCAUUUGAGAACUCAGACCCUAUUACAUAAACCCCAUGAUGAUCAAAUGCUUGCAUUAUAUUUGGAGUGCGUUUAGGGGCCUAUUCACCAAGGGGUUUAUUUACUAAUAUUCGUGUUUGAGUCGGUUUGUGUAGUGUUUAAACUCGUUUGUUAUCGGAUGCAUUUUCAUGCAACUUUUUGAAACUAUAUACGCCAACUUACGAAGCAGUCGAGUUUAUGGUUUUUUUGUUUUCCGCUGUCGAUGCCAGUCGUUUUUUUUUGUCACAUUUCUGGCCGUCAUUGUCAUUUGCGUACGUGUUUUUUACUGGUUUAUUUUCUAUGUUAAACGCGGCAGGGUUAUUUAUCAACCACGGCCGCAUUUUCACUUUUAGUUUCGAUUUUCAUCCCCGUUCGUGAUUGGUUGUGUUUCAGAUGUUGGAGUGUCUGUGCGCAACCAUAUAAAUACGCCCCAAACCGUCCGCACCUCGUGGGUUUAGUUAAUGGUGAGGAGGGAGGUUGUGCUGUGGAGGUUGGUGAGUAGUUGGUUUGGUGAGGAGUUUUUUGGGCGAUUUCUGAGUGUAGUAUUGUGUGUGAAAGUAAUCUUGUCAUUCUUGUAGUCUUGUUUUUUUUGGUUUUGUCUCAUUUUUUGUCCAAGUUUUUUUGAUUUAUAGUCCCUUGUCAGUGUGUGUGUGUGUGUGUGUGUGUGUGUGUGUGUGUGUGUGUGUGUGUGUGUGUGUGUGAGUUGUGCAGUGGUAGUGGAGGAGUGUGUUGUUUGUAUUUUUCUGUGUUAAUUGUUGAACCACACAAUUAUGUCUGAGGGUGAGGUGGCUGAGGUGAGUGAGAGUGAGGUUAGUGAGGUGGAGGAGGUGGGUGAGGUUGCUGCAGCAGCCACAAGUGACAGUGAUAGUGACAGUCAGAGAGCUCCGCAGCCACGCACCACUACUAAGACUGGGCGGAAUGUAAAGUUUAGUUAUGCUGAAAAUGUGGCAUUGGUGCGGGAGCUGAUGAAGUAUCAGCGGCAGCUAUUUGGGCCUGAGUCCGCCAAGGUGCCAACACGGAAGAAGACGGUGUUGUGGGCGAAAGUUGCUGCUGUAAAUAGUGAGGGGGUGGUCAAGCGGACGGAGGACACGUGCCGCAAACGGUACUAUGACAUAAAGCGACGUGUCAAGUCCAAAAUGGCCAAGGAGGCGAUGUCGGCUCGCAAAACCGGUGGUGGACAGCCCUAUAUUGCCAGAUAUUUGGACUAUGAGGAGCCCAUGCGGAGUUUAAUACCUCCUGAAGUAAUGUCUGCAACCCAUGUCCGUGAUUCCGAUCUGCCCAGGAAGGAUGUGUUAAAAAAAGCAGUACUGGUCGGCCUACAGUCACUCUCAUGACAUCUGAUGAUGAUGACGCUGCGGAAGCAGGUCCAUCAAAAGAAGUCUUGAGCAGCAGAAGGCGGACUCCUGUAUCACACCAAACAAUAAUACAUGUGGCAACAAAGAAAGCAAGGUCUGAUGUCCAAUCACAACCACAGCAGUGUACCCCGCCACGAAGAUUGUCUACAGUUUCUUCUGUCCCACCACUCCAACUUUUGGUCACACCUCCAAGACACCAACCACAAUCCCCUCAUCUUGAUUAUUCUAGUACUAGUACCAGCAUCCCGACGCAACAGCAGCAACACAGUGACAUGGAUGAGACAAUCAUGUUACAAAUGUAGCCAUUAAUCGAAGGAAUCAGCCACCCAGCACCUGUGAGUACACCACCACAGUAAAGCACUCCACCACCACAACACAGCCCAACAACACCAGUAGCACAAGGCCCUGAUCAAGUGUUUUGGGACAGUUGGGCUACACAGCAGGCCACUAAUCAAGAUUUCCUGCGUAGGCAGACCCAAAUUUUUGCUAACCUACCAUCUCACCUCAGAAGAAUCAGCAGAAAUAUCAGUCGCCAAAAUGAACCAACCACCAGAAUUGCCAAUACCAUGGAAAUCAUGCGUGCAGACAUUACACAUGUCAUGGGCAACUUACAACGCAUAAUGGAAGAACAGCACAGACAACAGCAAAGCUACAUCAACAUCUUAGAAAACAAUCAAAUGAUCAAUGAAUCUAUCACCAGAAUUUUAGAGAAUCAAAAUACUGCAACACGUGAACUUAAUGCCACCCUCACUAACCUCACUGAAACACUCAGAUCCCAGCACCAAAAGCAACGAAGCAGAUGUUCUGGUAAGACUACUCCUAUUCUAUCGCCAGUGUCCUCACCACCAAGGCGCUCCACCAGAGCACGCCAACACGACAGUGGUAAAGGCAAAGGCCAGUCCAAGCAGCCAACCCCAAAAAAAUAAAAAAUGGAAACACCGAUUUCUGUAUAGAGAAGAAAAUAAUCACAGUUAGUAAGUGUAGGUUUGUCUCAAUAUAUAUAAUACUUAGCACCUUGUCAAUUUGUUGAACAUCAUUAAUUAUAAGUGUUACAAACAACAACAGGAUUUUUGACAACACAUUUAUUCUUUAACAUCUUGGUAUUUUUUUGGAGGAGGAAAAAGUAAUUUGAUCUGCACAUUGUUCGUAGCAUGCAGUAACAAGACCACUUGAUUUUUUUCUAAUCAUUACUCUUUCUAGAUUCCAAUCAUUCUCAUAUCUUGCAGGCAGACUAAUUGGCAGCCAUGCAGAUUCAUCCAUGACCAAUACAACUUACAAUGUGAUUUUUAACUCUUUUACAUUUCUUCUCUAGAUGACAUAACAAGAAUAACACAAUUGAGUUGCCUAAAAAGGUACUAAUAUGUUGUGAAACUAUUUAGAUAAUUCUGGCCCAAAAUGAAUGACAUUAUUGUUGUGCCAUGUUUGUGUGUGUUAAAAAUGAGUAAUCAGAUUAUUACACAUAAUGCAGAAACAAAGAAAUUGUAAAUAUUUUAAUCAACACAAAUAAUGUGUAUAAUAAUGGAUAUAUGUUGAAAACUGUGUAUUGACUUACAAAUCUGCAAGUUUACUCCAGCAAACAUAACAAAAUAAAUUAUUUGGAUGAUACUAAA